CAACGUUACGGUAGGAAAACGUGACGUACAGCUCGGAGCUCUUGGAAUGACACCAGCGCGCUGGUAGCAGCAAGUUGGGCGCUAGGACAGAGCCUGUGCACCGGCCGGUUUGGCGCCGUCACGUCGCUCUUCUUCAUAACUCCGUUGCAUGGGAGUCUACAGCUGAGGACUACUGAUCCGGGUUUAGACACCACGGCAUUUCGCCCUCACACCUGGAAGCAUCUGCAUUCAGGGCAGGAGUACUUUGAAGUACCGGAGCCUCACCACCAUGUCCAGUGUGCAGAGGGUCGGCAGCCCGGCCAACCUCGCCGAGGCGAAGAGGAGCGAGCUGCGGAUGAAGGAGAAGAAGUGCUCGUGGGCAUCCUACAUGACCAACUCUCCCACGGUGAUCGUGAUGAUCGGCCUUCCUGCCAGAGGGAAGACCUACAUGUCCAAGAAACUCACUCGCUACCUCAACUGGAUCGGUGUCCCCACCAAAGUGUUUAACCUGGGCGUGUACCGGAGGGAGGCGGUCAGGGCAUACAAGUCCUACGACUUCUUCCGCCAUGACAACCAGGAAGCCAUGAAAAUCAGGAAACAGUGUGCCCUGGUCGCCCUGCAGGAUGUGAGGGCGUAUCUGACAGACGAAGGAGGACAGAUCGCUGUGUUCGACGCAACAAAUACGACGAGGGAGAGACGAGACCUCAUUCUCGCUUUUGUCCAAGAAAAUGCAUUUAAGGUGUUUUUUGUGGAGUCAGAGUGUGACGACCCAGAAGUCAUUGCUGCCAACAUUCUGGAGGUAAAGGUUUCAAGCCCUGACUACCCGGAGAGACACAGAGAGCGAGUGAUGGACGACUUUCUGAAGAGAAUCGAGUGUUACAAGGUCACCUACCAACCGCUAGACCCUGACCAAUAUGACAAGGACCUGUCCUUCAUCAAGGUGAUGAACGUGGGCGUGAGGUUCCUGGUGAACCGGGUCCAGGACUACAUCCAGAGCAAGAUCGUGUACUACCUCAUGAACAUCCACGUGCACUCCCACUCCAUCUACCUGUGUCGCCAUGGCGAGAGCAACCACAACGUAGAGGGCCGCAUUGGGGGGGACUCCGAGCUGUCCCACCACGGUAGACUGUUCUCCCAGGCUCUGCGGAGCUUCAUCGAGCAGCACCAGCUGUGGGACCUGAAGGUGUGGACCAGCCAGUUGAGGAGGACCAUCCAGACGGCCGAGGAGCUCGCUGUGCCCUACGAGCAGUGGAAGAUCCUCAACGAGAUCGAUGCUGGGGUGUGUGAGGAGAUGAGCUACGAGAUGAUCCAGGCCUCCUUCCCGGAGGAGUUUGCUCUACGGGACCACGACAAAUACCACUACCGUUACCCCGGGGGAGAGUCCUACCAGGACCUGGUCCAGAGGUUGGAGCCGGUGAUCAUGGAGCUGGAGCGUCAGGGCAACGUGUUGGUGGUCUGCCACCAGGCCGUCAUGAGGUGUCUGCUGGCCUACUUCCUGGACAAGAGUGCAGAGGACCUUCCCUACAUGAAAUGUCCUCUCCACACCGUCCUAAAGCUCACCCCCGUUGCAUACGGUUGCAAAGUGGAGAUGUUUUACCUGAAUGUGGAGGCAGUGAACACGCACCGGGACAGACCUCUUUGUGUCCCGGUCUCCCCGCAGGCCAACGAUCCCAGGGACACCGUUCCCAUCCUGAGACGCAAUAGUUACACGCCACUGGCCAGUCACGACCAGGUCAAACGGCCCCGGCUGUACAGCGCCGGGAACAGGCCCUGGCUGCCCUCGGCCCCCACCCCCUCUGCUCUCAUGCCGGAGGGACAGCAGAGCCAAGUUAGUGUCAGAGUCACCCCCAACCUCCCACACCCCCCACCUUCACCAUACCAGACCAGUCCGCUGUGCAGCCCCAGGCCUUCGCUCGUCUCCGCGGGUUCACGUCUGUCUUUCUGGUGCAUGGUGCCCUUGCUUCACAGCUCUGCUCGGCCUAGCAUGAUAGCACGCCUACCGUUAGCAUUAGCAGGUCUAAUGCUAGCUUUAGCUUCACAUCUACUUGGCACACUCAUACACACACUAUAUAUUACCCAUUUGUAUAUGGGAAAAGAAGAAUGGAAACUAUUACAAUUCCAGAUAUCUUGCAUAAAUUGCAAGAUGCAACAUCGGACACGAACAGUCACACAGACACAUAUGUAUAAAUAUAUAUAUGUAUAGAUAUAAAUGUUAUAAAAAAUAAAGAAUCAUUACCAAUUUGGUGUUGAGAGGUGUGCCGUUUCCAUUUGUGUGUUUCGGAAGAAACAGUGGCAUCGUCUUGUGAGUCCAGUGCUUCAGUCGUUCUCCAUAUCUCUAUCUAUCCCUCUGUCUCUCUCUCUCUCUGCCUCGUCCCCUUCUCCUGUCUGUCUCUUCACAGCCUUGGAUAGGUGUCAAGUGUCUGACUGCCUGUGUGAAGGAAUCGACUCGGACAGCCCAGAAGAGGCUAGUGACAGUGUCGAGUUCUGAGUGACCAUGGCACCCAAGACUCCCAAGCAAACGAUGCAUCACGUCAACGUAACCUGCUGCCUUGUCUAAUUUAUUCACACGCCGUAACAAACAAAAUCUUCAGAACACAUUCAUUGCAAAAUGUAUUUCUGCCUAUCCGAUUUUUUAUUUGUGUUUUCGAUUAGGUGUGUUGAUCAAUUAAUUCUAAAAAACUUUAGAAUUAAUCGAAUUGAAAAAAUAUAAACGUAUCCUCAUAUUAAUUACCUUUGAUAUGAUUUCAAAAUAAUAUCUUGGCUCGAAACUGACCAUGUGUAAUAAAUGAGGUCGGUUACAUUAAAGUCCCUGCAUCCCGGGACCGGGGAAUCCAACCAAAGCCAACGGCUGUAAGCUUCUCCUGCAUGCGUGCCAAUACAAGGUCAUUGAACCAGUGAGAUGUAGCAGAGCUAGCACAUAGUAGUGUCUCAUUCUGCCUUACGGCUAUACGCUGCAUGCUACCAUAGCAUCCUCUUAGCACAAUUAUGUACAAUUAAUUAACCCAGUUCACCAACUGUUAUUUCACGAUGUGUGAUUGUAUAAAUAUAAAAAAUAAGUUAAUGUUGAUGCAUUUAUUUGAUGUGUUUUAACUUUGUAUUUAUCUGCUGUGGCCGAGGUUGGACACAUCAAUGAUAACUGGUUCUGAGGUAAAUCUUGGUCAAUCGCAAAGUUGAUAUUUAUGAUAUUUUUGACGGUAUGAGGUAUUUUUGAAAUGGGGGAAAAUGGAAAACAAAGGAUUUAAACCACGUUCUCACAGUUUGUAAAGGUUUAAGAGAGAUGUGAUAGGUCUAUGGCAUUGUAAUAUACAAUAUAGUAAAUAAAAUGAAUAAAGUCCUGCUCUAAGUCGA